ACUCCUAUGGGAGGCAGCAGUGAGGAAUAUUGGUCAAUGGUCGCAAGACUGAACCAGCCAUGCCGCGUGCAGGAAGACGGUUCUAUGGAUUGUAAACUGCUUUUAUACAGGAAGAAACCCUCCCACGUGUGGGAGCUUGACGGUACUGUAGGAAUAAGGAUCGGCUAACUCCGUGCCAGCAGCCGCGGUAAUAC
rnacentral:rRNA from 1 species